CUGAAAACUCCUUCAGAAUCAGUUCAACGUGCUGUCUCAAACUUCCUAGCUUCUUUUAUUGCUAGUCCACCAGGUGGAUUCUGAGAAACUUGCAAAAAGUUUGCUUGAACAACUUGUGCAAUCGGAGAAAUAUGGAGAGCGCUGUGGAGCAGCCUUUGGAUUGGCCGGGGUAGUGAAGGGGAAGGGAUUGUCUUGCUUGAAGAAGUUCCGUGUAAUCCGAGAAACUUGGGGAGCCGUGCGUAAUACGAAUCCUGCCAGAGAUGCUUGUGUGUUUCUCCGUUUCCGUUUCAGCAGUAUACGAGGCGGCUGAUCGGACAAUUAUGUCGCAACUUACCGGCCAAGGUGUUAAACUUGUCUUACCGGCUCUAUUCAAGGGGCUAGAAGACCGAGCAUGGCGUACUAAACAUGGAAGUGUUCAACUGCUUGGGACUAUGACUUUUUGUGCUCCUCGGCAGCUCUCGCAAUGCUU